UCAAGAAAAUACAAAAUUCUUCAAAGAAAUAGUAGAUACCCAACUACCUACUUCACAAUUUCCUUUCCAAAUACCUUUACAUUAUAUUUUCCCUUCUCUUUCUCUAUCUUCAAUAUGUCCCCAAAUCCCUUAAACAUCCCUAAAUUAUAAUCCCCAAACUAAACUGGAAAUUAAAAGAUGGGAUUAUCCCUAAAUUAUAAUUAAA
rnacentral:lncRNA from 1 species